rnacentral:rRNA from 1 species
AUUGAACGCUGGCGGCAGGCCUAACACAUGCAAGUCGAGCGGAUGAAGGGAGCUUGCUUCUGGAUUCAGCGGCGGACGGGUGGGUAAUGCCUAGGAAUCUGCCUGGUAGUGGGGGAUAACGUCCGGAAACGGGCGCUAAUACCGCAUACGUCCUGAGGGAGUAAGGGGGGGAGCUUCGGACCUCACGCUAUUAGAUGAGCCUAGGUCGGAUUAGCUAGUUGGUGGGGUAAAGGCCUACCAAGGCGACGAUCCGUAACUGGUCUGAGAGGAUGAUCAGUCACACUGGAACUGAGACACGGUCCAGACUCCUACGGGAGGCAGCAGUGGGGAAUAUUGGACAAUGGGCGAAAGCCUGAUCCAGCCAUGCCGCGUGUGUGAAGAAGGUCUUCGGAUUGUAAAGCACUUUAAGUUGGAAGGAAGUGCAGUAGGUUAAUACCUUGCUAUUUUGACGGUACCAACAGAAUAAGCACCGGCUAACUUCGUG